UACGUAGGGGGCAAGCGUUGUCCGGAUUUAUUGGGCGUAAAGAGCGUGUAGGCGGCCUGAAAGGUCAGCUGUGAAAACUCGAGGCUCAACCUCGAGACGUCGGUUGAAACCAUCUGGCUAGAGUCCGGAAGAGGAGUGUGGAAUUCCCGGUGGAGCGGUGAAAUGCGUUGAUAUCGGGAGGAACUCCGGCGGCGAAAGCGGUGCACUGGUGGAUUACUGACGCUGAGGUGCGAAAGCCAGGGGAGCAAACGGG
rnacentral:rRNA from 1 species